UUGGAGGGCAAGUCUGGUGCCAGCAGCCGCGGUAAUUCCAGCUCCAAUAGCGUAUAUUAAAGUUGUUGCAGUUAAAAAGCUCGUAGUUGAAUUUCGGGAUCAAUUUAUUGGUCGUGCUAUUGUACGUACUGGUAUUAUUGAUUCCUACCUUCUGACGAACCAUGAUGUCAUUAAUUUGGUGUCAUGGGGAAUCAGGACUGUUACUUUGAAAAAAUUAGAGUGUUUAAAGCAGGC
rnacentral:rRNA from 1 species